AAGUUCAAACAUUCGAGCUGGGAAUCAUUAUUGGUUCAUCAGAGCCUCGCUCGUAUUUGGGGAGGUGAAGGAGUGGUUGUUGGCCAUUGAUAAUUGACACUUCAGACUCGGAAAAUGUUAACGAAUGGAGUGAGUUUGAGGGUGAAUAUGUCAACCAGUCAGCGGCCGGGUGUGGUUGCCUGCUGGAUAUAAAGGGAGGAUGAAACACACAUCACGUCAGUGUGUUUUACCUCACUUUUGGUGGAUAGUUCUAGGCUCGUCUCUUGAAGUUCUAUAUUACGGUCAACAGUCCACUGGGGAAGCGGCACCCUAGUUCUUCCUGCACUUAAGAUAGCAGUUUCCUUUGGUGCCAGAACCCCAAGCCUAAGUCUCCCAGCGUUCAAGGACACGGAACACUACAGUGCAUCAUGUGGAAUACCUUGUGACAUGGGCGACUUUGAUUGUUGGCGCCUGAGGCGGCUAGUUUGUGGACCCCGUACUCUUCCUGUGAGCAGUGGCGCCAAAGGUCCCAUCAGACCUCGUCUUGGAAUAUUAGAACUUCAACAAUCAUUAAACACCUUAGUUACAUGUCAGCAGGCAGCAAUAUUUAGGUAAAAUAUAAUAGAGUAUAAUGGCAGUUAAUUAGUUAAUAAUAAUAGAUCUAUAGUUUACGUAAGACAAAACCCAAGAUUCA